rnacentral:rRNA from 1 species
GAUCAUGGCUCAGGACGAACGGCUGGCGGCGUGCCUAACACAUGCAAGUCGAGCGGAGACAUACGGCGGAUUGAAGUUUCGGAUGGAAAUGAAGAUGUAUGUUUAGCGGCGGACGGGUGAGUAACGCGUGAGCAACCUGUCCUUCACAGGGGGAUAACACAGCGAAAGUUGUACUAAUACCGCAUAAGACCACGGGACCGCAUGGUACUGGGGGUCAAAGGAGCAAUCCGGUGAAGGGUGGGCUCGCGUCCGAUUAGAUAGUUGGUGAGGUAACGGCCCACCAAGUCGACGAUCGGUAGCCGACCUGAGAGGGUGAUCGGCCACAUUGGGACUGAGACACGGCCCAAACUCCUACGGGAGGCAGCAGUGGGGAAUAUUGGGCAAUGGGGGAAACCCUGACCCAGCAACGCCGCGUGAGGGAAGAAGGUUUUCGGAUCGUAAACCUCUGUCCUUGGUGAAGAGUGAGAGACGGUAGCCAAGGAGGAAGCCCCGGCUAACUACGUGCCAGCCGCUGC